rnacentral:rRNA from 1 species
AAUAAUACCCUGGUAGUCCACGCCGUAAACGAUGAGUGCUAAGUGUUAGAGGGUUUCCGCCCUUUAGUGCUGCAGCUAACGCAUUAAGCACUCCGCCUGGGGAGUACGGUCGCAAGACUGAAACUCAAAGGAAUUGACGGGGGCCCGCACAAGCGGUGGAGCAUGUGGUUUAAUUCGAAGCAACGCGAAGAACCUUACCAGGUCUUGACAUCCUCUGACAACUCUAGAGAUAGAGCGUUCCCCUUCGGGGGACAGAGUGACAGGUGGUGCAUGGUUGUCGUCAGCUCGUGUCGUGAGAUGUUGGGUUAAGUCCCGCAACGAGCGCAACCCUUGAUCUUAGUUGCCAGCAUUUAGUUGGGCACUCUAAGGUGACUGCCGGUGACAAACCGGAGGAAGGUGGGGAUGACGUCAAAUCAUCAUGCCCCUUAUGACCUGGGCUACACACGUGCUACAAUGGAUGGUACAAAGGGCUGCAAGACCGCGAGGUCAAGCCAAUCCCAUAAAACCAUUCUCAGUUCGGAUUGUAGG